rnacentral:rRNA from 1 species
UUUCGCAAUGCCCGAAAGGGUGACGAAGCGACGCCGCGUGGGUGAGGAAGGCCUUCGGGUUGUAAAGCCCUGUCAGGAGUUAAGAAAUGUAGACUCGCAAAUAUCGGGUCUAUUUGACAAAGGCUCCAAAGGAAGCCACGGCCAACUCUGUGCCAGCAGCCGCGGUAAUACAGAGGUGGCAAGCGUUGUUCGGAAUUAUUGGGCGUAAAGAGCACGUAGGUGGAUUUGUAAGUCAGACGUGAAAGCCUUCUGUUCAACGGAAGAAUUGCAUCUGAAACUACAAACCUUGAGUGUAGGAGGGGAGAAUGGAACUUCUGGUGGAGCGGUGAAAUGCGUAGAUAUCAGAAGGAACGCCGGCGGCGAAAGCGAUUCUCUGGCCUAUUACUGACACUCAGUGUGCGAAAGCUAGGGGAGCAAACGGGAUUAGAUACCCCGGUAGUCCUAGCCGUAAACGAUGGGCACUAAGUAGAGGGGUUUU